UUCUUUCUUCUUCUCAAGUUUGUGACAAGUUUAUAUAUUUUUUACAAUGUACAAGUGUGUCAUAGGCACCCCAGAGGAGAGCCAUUGGGCACCAAAUAGCAAACUUAAAAUUUGGGCAAUAAAAGGGUAGUUUUGUUGUAAAUAGAGUUAAUAUUAGUUUAUUGCUUCUCAUGUCUAAGAUUUCAUUAGUAGUAUCCAAACUCUUUUGAAGUUGGAUAGAUUAAUGCAAGGAUUACUCUCUCUCUCUCUC
rnacentral:lncRNA from 1 species